rnacentral:rRNA from 1 species
AUACGGAGGGUGCAAGCGUUAUUCGGAAUCACUGGGCGUAAAGGACGCGUAGGCGGGUUGGCAAGUCAGAUGUGAAAUCCUACAGCUUAACUGUAGAACUGCAUUUGAAACUGCUAACCUAGAGUAUGGGAGGGGGAGAUGGAAUUAGUGGUGUAGGGGUAAAAUCCGUAGAUAUCACUAGGAAUACCGAAAGCGAAGGCGAUCUCCUGGAACAUAACUGACGCUAAGGCGCGAAAGCGUGGGGAGCAAACAGGAUUAGAAACCCUAGUAGUCC